UACGAAGGGGGCUAGCGUUGUUCGGAUUUACUGGGCGUAAAGCGCACGUAGGCGGAUCUUUAAGUCAGAGGUGAAAUCCCAAGGCUCAACCUUGGAACUGCCUUUGAUACUGGGGAUCUUGAGUCCGGGAGAGGUGAGUGGAACUGCGAGUGUAGAGGUGAAAUUCGUAGAUAUUCGCAAGAACACCAGUGGCGAAGGCGGCUCACUGGCUCGGUACUGACGCUG
rnacentral:rRNA from 1 species